rnacentral:rRNA from 1 species
CGUGGCUAUUGGGCUUUAUAUCACGGGACCCAAAAUUACUUUUUCAAGCAUUGUUUUCGAAUAUUUUUCAUGCAUCAAAGCUCGUUAAGACUAGAUGGGGUAUCCCUACAUGGCGGGUGGGACCCACGGCGAACGGUUCAUCAAGACUUAAAAAAAGAAUAUAUACGAUUGCAUUGCAUAUACUAACGGAUGCGAUCAUACCAGCACUAAUGCACCGGAUCCCAUCAGAACUCCGCAGUUAAGCGUGCUUGGGCGAGAGUAGUAUUAGGAUGGGUGACCUCCCGGGAAGUCCUCGUGUUGCAUCCCUCUUUUUUUUUUUUUUUUUUUUGGUUAAAACUUUAUGACUCUAUAACUUCUAUACCGUGAGGCCAAACUUGGCAUGUGAUACCUUUUCGGAAAGCCCAAAGAGAGCCCUCUGACGAAAGAAGCAAGACAAUGGAACUUUUCCAUUGACUUUUUGUCGACUCCAAAUUUUGACCUUUAACUACUUUUUCGGGAAUCA